rnacentral:rRNA from 2 species
CGCAACCCUUGUUACUAGUUGCCAGCAUUAAGUUGGGCACUCUAGUGAGACUGCCGGUGACAAACCGGAGGAAGGUGGGGACGACGUCAGAUCAUCAUGCCCCUUAUGACCUGGGCUACACACGUGCUACAAUGGACGGUACAACGAGUCGCAAGCUCGCGAGAGUAAGCUAAUCUCUUAAAGCCGUUCUCAGUUCGGACUGUAGGCUGCAACUCGCCUACACGAAGUCGGAAUCGCUAGUAAUCGCGGAUCAGCAUGCCGCGGUGAAUACGUUCCCGGGCCUUGUACACACCGCCCGUCACACCAUGGGAGUUUGUAAC